CCGUUAAUAUGAGUGGACAGAGCAUGUGUGACGUCACCCAUUGGUUUGUGGAGAUCAGAAAUGAGUCGUCGAGUUUGCGUUUAUGGGCGCAGCCAUCUUGGUUGCGGAUGUGACGAUUUUAGAGAAGAGGGUGGAGUGAGAGCGGAGCCACCGACCGGUGGGCGGGAUAUACAGUCUAUGGGCGGGAUCUGACUGACGUUAGCUGAGAGUUAGCAACGCUGCUCUACCAUUACUCUAGCUAACCACUUUCACUGGCAAUGUGGUUGCAACUGCUGCUGGAUAAUUCAAGAAACAGGAGUGCUGAGAGCCACAAUGGCAUGUUCACCCCCCAAAUGCCCCAGAACUUAAAAUAUUUGCUUGGCUGGUCUGCGGUGGAAGAGACUUCUCCCUUUCUUUUACCAGUCCCUACAAGGAAGAGCUGUCCCGGACGUCCUCCUUAUUCACUGUGGCGGGAAUGACCUGAGAGAUGUCAAGGGCGUCAACCUCGUCGCAGGGAUGAACGAGAACCUGCAGCACCUCCACCUGCAGUAUCCAGGCAUGAUAGCACAAGUGCUGUAAGAUUUAAAUGUCAAGCUGUAUUUUUAUAUUGUGAUUUGUAAUGUCAACCAUUUCUACUGUAAUUAACAAUGUGACAGAGAUUCAACGACCUCUUUAUUAUGCAGACAUGUCUUGUGACAGUUAAGUUUGCCUUUACCUUAACCCACAGCAGUGUUUUAUGUGUGGAAUUUACUCUUGUAAAAGGUGAACUACAUUAUUUAAUUCAUACAUUUUUAAAAAUCUUUAGUGUUUGGUUAAUGUAUUUUUUUUAAGUUG